AUUGAACGCUGGCGGCAUGCCUUACACAUGCCAGUCGAACGGCAGCACGGGUGCUUGCCCCUGGUGGCGAGUGGCGAACGGGUGAGUAAUACAUCGGAACAUGUCCUGUAGUGGGGGAUAGCCCGGCGAAAGCCGGAUUAAUACCGCAUACGAUCUACGGAUGAAAGCGGGGGACCUUCGGGCCUCGCGCUAUAGGGUUGGCCGAUGGCUGAUUAGCUAGUUGGUGGGGUAAAGGCCUACCAAGGCGACGAUCAGCAGCUGGUCUGAGAGGACGACCAGCCACACUGGGACUGAGACACGGCCCAGACUCCUACGGGAGGCAGCAGUGGGGAAUUUUGGACAAUGGGCGAAAGCCUGAUCCAGCAAUGCCGCGUGUGUGAAGAAGGCCUUCGGGUUGUAAAGCACUUUUGUCCGGAAAGAAAUCCUUGGCCCUAAUACGGUCGGGGGAUGACGGUACCGGAAGAAUAAGCACCGGCUAACUACGUG
rnacentral:rRNA from 1 species